rnacentral:rRNA from 1 species
AACGAACGCUGGCGGCAUGCCUAACACGUGCAAGUCGAACGAGACCUUCGGGUCUAGUGGCGCACGGGUGCGUAACGCGUGGGAAUCUACCCUUGGGUUCGGAAUAACAGUUAGAAAUGACUGCUAAUACCGGAUGAUGACGUAAGUCCAAAGAUUUAUCGCCCAAGGAUGAGCCCGCGUAAGAUUAGCUUGUUGGUGGGGUAAUGGCCUACCAAGGCGACGAUCUUUAGCUGGUCUGAGAGGGUGAUCAGCCAAACUGGGACAGAGACACGGCCCAGACUCAUACGGGAGGAAGCAGUGGGGAAUAUUGGACAAUGGGCGAAAGCCUGAUCGAGCAAUGCCGCGUGAGUGAUGAAGGCCUUAGGGUUGUAAAGCUCUUUUACCAGGGAUGAUUAUGACAGUACCUGGAGAAUAAGCUCCGGCUAACUCCGUGCCAGCAGCCGCCGUAA